AUUGAACGCUGGCGGCAGGCCUAACACAUGCAAGUCGAGCGGAUGAGAGGAGCUUGCUCUUCGAUUCAGCGGCGGACGGGUGAGUAAUGCCUAGGAAUCUGCCUAGUAGUGGGGGACAACGUUUCGAAAGGAACGCUAAUACCGCAUACGUCCUACGGGAGAAAGUGGGGGAUCUUCGGACCUCACGCUAUUAGAUGAGCCUAGGUCGGAUUAGCUAGUUGGUAGGGUAAAGGCCUACCAAGGCGACGAUCCGUAACUGGUCUGAGAGGAUGAUCAGUCACACUGGAACUGAGACACGGUCCAGACUCCUACGGGAGGCAGCAGUGGGGAAUAUUGGACAAUGGGCGAAAGCCUGAUCCAGCCAUGCCGCGUGUGUGAAGAAGGCCUUCGGGUCGUAAAGCACUUUAAGUUGGGAGGAAGGGCUCAUAGCGAAUACCUGUGAGUUUUGACGUUACCAACAGAAUAAGCACCGGCUAACUUCGUGCCAGCAGCCGCUGUAA
rnacentral:rRNA from 1 species